AGUGAACGCUGGCGGUAGGCCUAACACAUGCAAGUCGAACGGCAGCACAGUAAGAGCUUGCUCUUACGGGUGGCGAGUGGCGGACGGGUGAGGAAUACAUCGGCAUCUACUUUUUCGUGGGGGAUAACGUAGGGAAACUUACGCUAAUACCGCAUACGACCUACGGGUGAAAGCAGGGGAUCUUCGGACCUUGCGCGAUUGAAUGAGCCGAUGUCGGAUUAGCUAGUUGGCUGGGUAAAGGCCCACCAAGGCAACGAUCCGUAGCUGGUCUGAGAGGAUGAUCAGCCACACUGGAACUGAGACACGGUCCAGACUCCUACGGGAGGCAGCAGUGGGGAAUAUUGGGCAAAGGGCGCAAGCCUGAUGCAGCCAUACCGCGUGGGUGAAGAAGGCCUUCGGGUUGUAAAGCCCUUUUGUUGGGAAAGAAAAGCAGCAGGUUAAUACCCGGCUGUUCUGACGGUACCCAAAGAAUAAGCACCGGCUAACUUCGUG
rnacentral:rRNA from 1 species